rnacentral:rRNA from 1 species
UACGUAGGGACCAAGCGUUGUUCGGAUUUACUGGGCGUAAAGGGCGCGUAGGCGGCUUAACAAGUCACUUGUGAAAUCUCCGGGCUUAACUCGGAACGGCCAAGUGAAACUGUCAAGCUAGAGUGCAGAAGGGGCAAUCGGAAUUCUUGGUGUAGAGGUGAAAUUCGUAGAUAUUCGGAAGAACACCAGUGGCGAAGGCGACUCACUGGACACAUAUUGACGCUGAGGUGCGAAAGCGUGGGGAGCAAACAGG